rnacentral:rRNA from 1 species
GACGAACGCUGGCGGCGUGCUUAACACAUGCAAGUCGAACGGAAAGGCCCUGCUUUUGUUGGGUGCUCGAGUGGCGAGCGGGUGUGUAACACGUGAGUAACCUGCCCUUGACUGUGGGAUAACUUCAGGAAACUGGGGCUAAUACCGGAUAUGAGCUCCUGCAGCGUGUGGGGCGUUGGAAAGUGUCGGCGGUUGGGGAUGGACUGGCGGCUUAUGCGCUUGUUGGUCGGGUAGUGGCUGACAAGGGGUUUGACGGGUAGCCGGCCUGAGAGGGUUAACGGCCACAUUGGGCCUGAGAUACGGCCCAGACUCCUACGGGAGGCAGCAGUGGGGAAUAUUGCACAAUGGGCGGAAGCCAGAUGCAGAAACGUCGCGUGCGGGAUGACGUCCUUCGGGUGGUAAACCGCUUUGGACUGUGCUGAACAGUGAGUGACGGUAAUGGGUAAAGAAGCCCCGGCUAACUACGUG